CAAUAAUCGGCCGGCGGUUGAAUGCCCUGUUGCUUGGCGCUGCCGAAGGAAAUUCGCUUGUUUAAAUUUUUGGAGGGUUCGUGCUAUUGAUGGGCUAAACUGCGAUUUUCCGAUAUCAGUGAUUUCUGUGAAUGCUACUUUUCAGUAUCUGUUAUUAUUAACUGUGAUUUGUCGCAGUUAAGGAACAUCGGUCGUCAAUCCCUGCCACUUCUGCGACUUACCACCAUAUGAAAAAGUUACCAAUUAUAUUGAUAAUGUUAUGAGGUUAUUUCCUGUUGAGCUUCCUAUUUCGAAAUCGAAUAAUCGGCCGGCGGUUGAAUGCCCUGUUGCUUGGCGCUGCCGAAGGAAAUUCGUUUGUUUAAAUUUUUGGAGGGUUCGUGGCAGUUAAGGAACAUCGGUCGUGAACCCUGCGACUUCUGCAGCUUACCACCGUAUGAAAAAGUUACAUCUGUCAACACAGAAAAUUGCAUCUCAACAAACCUGUCAUUGGAAAGUACCUGAACUACAUUUCAGUCACUUAGCAAAGUGAUAACUCAAAAUAUCAUUGUCAACAGAUCUGAAGAAAUUGCCACUGCGUCUUUAGACCGUUUUCGUCAGACGAGAGACGCAGUUCUGACUCUGAUUACUGGUUGCUGUACGUAUCUAUCCACAUCAAGGCUGUUGAGAGAGACUCGUGAAGAUUCAAGACAGCUCUUAGAGGAUUUGCAGUUUAAAAGUGAAAUAAGUGUGUGAAUGAUUAAACUGUGUUUUAUUGAA